GGGGCAGUAGCUCAGUUGGGAGAGCGCCGCGUUCGCAAUGCGGAGGCCAGGGGUUCGAUCCCCCUCUGCUCCACCC
rnacentral:tRNA from 1 species